CCUACGGGAGGCAGCAGUGGGGAAUAUUGGACAAUGGGGGGAACCCUGAUCCAGCCAUGCCGCGUGUGUGAAGAAGGCCCUCGGGUUGUAAAGCACUUUCAGCGAGGAAGAACGCCUAGCGGUUAAUACCCGCUAGGAAAGACAUCACUCGCAGAAGAAGCACCGGCUAACUCCGUGCCAACAGCCGUGGUAAUACGGAGGGUGCAAGCGUUAAUCGGAAUUACUGGGCGUAAAGCGCGCGUAGGUGGCUUGAUAAGCCGGUUGUGAAAGCCCCGGGCUCAACCUGGGAACGGCAUCCGGAACUGUCAAGCUAGAGUGCAGGAGAGGAAGGUAGAAUUCCCGGUGUAGCGGUGAAAUGCGUAGAGAUCGGGAGGAAUACCAGUGGCGAAGGCGGCCUUCUGGACUGACACUGACACUGAGGUGCGAAAGCGUGGGUAGCAAACAGGAUUAGAUACCCUGGUAGUCCACGCCGUAAACGAUGUCGACCAGCCGUUGGGUGCCUAGCGCACUUUGUGGCGAAGUUAACGCGAUAAGUCGACCGCCUGGGGAGUACGGCCGCAAGGUUAAAACUCAAAUGAAUUGACGGA
rnacentral:rRNA from 1 species